AUUUCCUUGUUCAAACUUGCUCCUCUGUCUCUAUUGGUUAAAUCACUUUACACAUGUGUUUUCUUUUCACUUCUCUUCCUCCAUUUGACGUUUAGACACUGAGGAAGGUUUAUAGAAUUGAUAUUAUAAUAGGCCAAUUUAUGUACCUUCAUUUGUGUUUUAUUUUACGUUAUUCUUUGAUGAAAUAAUUUAAAUCUUCAGAUUUUACUGUUUUAACCAACAAAAGUUCUUUACCUUAAGUGUGGAGGUAGUUGCAACCUUCCAGUUUGACCCAUUCUCAGUUGAAGACCUAGCACUGGGGCAUCAAUGUGCAUAGCAGUAAAUGAAGGAUCUUAUCUCUGAAAUAAAACCAUUUACGGUGAAGAAGAAGGAAUUUUAUGAGGUGAUAUUUGAGACCCAAGAAAAAUCUACUUUCGUAAGACUUGGCGAACUGGAAUUGAUUUACGGCAUCUUGGCAAUGAGAUGCACUGAGAUAUAUCUUCCCUGUUCAGUGUCUGAAAUACGAAUGGUAGUCACGCAAGACCAAUUACUGCUGAAUUACGCUCAGCCAAGAAACUGUUCAAUCGUAAAAACUUCUUCUGAAAAAAAAACUUGAGAAAGCUAAAGUAAGUGUUUCUACAUUCCGUCAUAAACACAUCUAAAUAAGAAAUUAUUUAUAUCAGUGAAAUAUCAGCAAAAUUUGUGAAAGGAAAUACCAAAGACUCUACUUUUGAGAAGAUUUAGGAAACUGUAAACAACCUUUAAAGUGAAGCUCGAUAAAAAUGAUUAUGUUCUUAAUGUACUCCAGGGAGGAAAAAAACCCACUUAUGGCACAUUUGUAUUUUUUCCUUACCAUUUGCUCAUUAGAAAGGCAUUUGCUAAAAGGUUUGGACCAUUAAUGCUUGUAGAAAAGCACAUGAGACACCAAAAAGAAACAAAGAUUGAAGAUAUGAUAAUGUAAAAUGAAAAAUACGCUUUAAAGGUAUUUACUUUCUUGCG